UACGGGGGGGGCAAGCGUUGUUCGGAAUUACUGGGCGUAAAGGGUUCGUAGGUGGCCUGCUAAGUCAGACGUGAAAGCCCCCGGCUCAACCGGGGAGGGUCGUCGGGGACUGGCGGGCUUGAGGUCGGCAGGGGUUGGUGGAAUUCCCGGUGUAGUGGUGAAAUGCGUAGAGAUCGGGAGGAACACCCGUGGCGAAGGCGGCCAACUGGGCCGGACCUGACGCUGAGGCGCGAAGGCGUGGGGAGCGAACGGG
rnacentral:rRNA from 1 species